rnacentral:rRNA from 1 species
UACGUAGGCAGCGAGCGUUGUUCGGAAUUACUGGGCGUAAAGAGUGUGUAGGCGGCGCUCUAAGUUCGGUGUGAAAUCUCUCGGCUUAACUGGGAGGGUGCGCCGGAAACUGGAGUGCUCGAACGUGGGAGAGGAAAGCGGAAUUCCUGGUGUAGCGGUGAAAUGCGUAGAUAUUGGGAAGAACACCGGUGGCGAAGGCGGCGACCUGGUUCAUUACUGACGCUGAGGCGCGAAAGCGUGGGGAGCAAACAGG